CUCCCAAGGAGGAAGGAUCUCUAUCUGGAGAUCACUUCUCUUGGAGCCCUUCUGCGAGCAUAGGAUAUGGAGCAGCUAGCAGAAUACAAGACCCUCCAAGGACUGAAAUUCAGUAUGUUAUAAAGCCUGUGAGCCAAGACCACAUCCAUCACCAUGGAUGUAAAGAAAAUGAAGAAAAAUCAAGAAAAAAGAAAGAAUAGCAACAAUUUUGGACUUUUCAGUGAAACUACACAUCUUCCUGAAAAUUCUACUCACCUUCAACACAGACUUCCAUUUCAGAAACCAUUCUGAGGUUUGGAUCUUCUUGACAUAAUUUCAGCAGAUCUUCCUGUGUGCAUCUUCAGGCUUUGGACAAGCAUGGGUCUUUUCUUGCUUUGAGAACCUCAUCCUCCUUACAGAAGUGCUGACCGAGUGCAGUUCGGUGUACUCUUUACAGCAGGAG
ensembl:lncRNA